ACCAAGUUCCUGACUUAAUGUUCUCAUAAUUUUGAAUGCAAAAUAGAAAUAAUGAAAAAUGACACGACUCGAGAAUAUACAGACAUCCCUUUGACAUGAGAGAAGCACAGGAACAUAGACCGGCAAAUCAGAACUGCAGCAUACUUUUAACAUGAGCAUGGACUAUAUUCCAACAGUUGAAACCUUGAACGUUCAUGAAUAACCACAAAAUCUAUCUAUUCCUGAUUGUGUUAGGAAGAAAAGAAGCUGCAAUGAGUCUAGCAAUAGCACUCCUUUUGAUAGCUGCAAUUUAGACCAUUUACAGCUUUAAAACAAGCAUUGAAUUGCUUAUCUCUCAACAUUCAUAGUAGAUCAUGGUAAACACCACUGACUAAAUGACACAACAAAAAAACAAUCGUUUGCUGAUUUCAUGAGCUUAUAUUGAAGCUAAGUAUGAACCGCAAAUCCUAUAUUAAUCUAGGCCAUCAAAUUACAACUCAAAUCGGUAGGGAAAGAGCUGACAUUGUUCAACAAUGCAUCAACUCAAGCAGGCAUCCAACCUCAAACAGGCUGUCAAAUUUCCAUAACAAAACCAUUCAAAUAGACCUUUAAACUCAGAAAAUUGACUCGAGAUAUUGACUUAAAUGAAAACUUGAUAUCAUGAUAGAAAUUAAAGCAAAAGCAGAGGACGACCCUUUAAAGUCAGCUUUUACUGACUGAACAUACUCAACUACAUCACACCACUGCGAAGAGAUUCACCAGCAAGAAAUUCAAUCACGACACAAAACAGACCCCUAUAAACUCACUCUCAUAGCUCAAAAGCACCGGAAUAAAAUAAAGUCGUAUAGAAUAAAAGAGAGGAAAAUUGCACCUAAAUUUGCAAAUCUCUUUUAUAACAAUUAUAAACUCGACAAGAUGAAAGUAGAAAACCAAGCUCGAACUUCAAUAUGUAUCUCCUUGGAACUCAUAUCUGGAUUCAAAGAAAAAUUAUAUGUGUUUCUCUUAAAAUUUGAAAGAAAUCUUCAAAAAUAAAUAGAAUCAGAAAACCAGAAAAAAAAAUCAAAGCCUCUCAACUUUUCUCAAAAUUUCUCCUCAAACUUUCUGUUCUCAAAAUUUCUGUCCUCAAAAUUUCUGUUCCCCUUCUCAAAAUCGGAACUAGCCCUAUUUGAAAAUGAAUCCCUUGAUGAACAUAGGGCUCAGAUUGAAUGAACUCAAUCUGAUGCCUCACAUUCAUCCAGCGAAUCCGCUCCAGAACCUUCCAAUUUGUGAGAUAUAUCCAAUUCGAACAAUGAGAGAGGACAGGAAUCUUUUGUCAGAAAUCGUUAGAACUGUAAGAGGAGGAAUUGGGGAAAGCAUGGUUGAGGAUUUGAGCUUCAGACGCCUGAAUUUGGACUAGGUUGGGCUUGGUUGGAAAGGUGUUUGGAGAAGAGGAGCAGGCUUGCGUCGCUU
rnacentral:lncRNA from 1 species